rnacentral:tRNA from 1 species
GGCUGGGUAGCUCAAUGGAUAGAGAGCCAAGCCUAGAGGUGGGAGGUCCUAGGUUCGAAUCCAGCCUCAGCCA